rnacentral:rRNA from 1 species
ACGGGAGGCAGCAGUGGGGAAUAUUGCACAAUGGGGGAAACCCUGAUGCAGCGACGCCGCGUGAGUGAAGAAGUUAUUCGUAAUGUAAAGCUCUAUCAGCAGGGAAGAAAAUGACGGUACCUGACUAAGAAGCCCCGGCUAACUACGUGCCAGCAGCCGCGGUAAUACGUAGGGGGCAAGCGUUAUCCGGAUUUACUGGGUGUAAAGGGAGCGUAGACGGUCUGGCAAGUCUGAUGUGAAAGGCAGGGGCUCAACUCCUGGACUGCAUUGGAAACUGUCAGUCUUGAGUGCCGGAGAGGUAAGCGGAAUUCCUAGUGUAGCGGUGAAAUGCGUAGAUAUUAGGAGGAACACCAGUGGCGAAGGCGGCUUACUGGACUGUAACUGACGUUGAGGCUCGAAGGCGUGGGGAGCAAACAGGAUUAGAUACCCUGGUA